rnacentral:snoRNA from 1 species
AGCCUGUUAUGGUUUAACAGUAGUGACAGAAGGAACUUCUGAAAUUCUAUUCUAAGGCU